rnacentral:rRNA from 1 species
UACGUAGGGUGCAAGCGUUGUCCGGAAUUAUUGGGCGUAAAGAGCUCGUAGGUGGCCUGUCGCGUCGGCUGUGAAAUCCCCGGGGCUCAACCCCGGGCGUGCAGUGGAUACGGGCUGGCUAGAGGCAGGCAGGGGAGAACGGAAUUCCCGGUGUAGCGGUGAAAUGCGCAGAUAUCGGGAGGAACACCGGUGGCGAAGGCGGUUCUCUGGGCCUGUACUGACGCUGAGGAGCGAAAGCGUGGGGAGCGAACAGG